rnacentral:rRNA from 1 species
CCUACGGGUGGCAGCAGUGAGGAAUAUUGGUCAAUGGGCGCAAGCCUGAACCAGCCAAGUCGCGUGAGGGAUGACGGUCCUAUGGAUUGUAAACCUCUUUUGUCGGGGAGCAAGGCCCGCCACGUGUGGCGGGAAGGAGAGUACCCGAAGAACAAGCAUCGGCUAACUACGUGCCAGCAGCCGCGGUAAUACGUAGGGUGCGAGCGUUAAUCGGAAUUACUGGGCGUAAAGGGUGUGCAGGCGGCUACGUAAGACAGAUGUGAAAUCCCCGGGCUUAACCUGGGAACCGCAUGUGUGACUGCUUGGCGAGAGUGCGGCAGAGGGAGGUGGAAUUCCACGUGUAGCAGUGAAAUGCGGAGAUAUGAGGAAGAACACCGAUGGCGAAGGCAGCCUCCUGGGACGCGACUGACGCUCAUACACGAAAGCGUGGGGAGCAAACAGGAUUAGAUACCCUUGUAGUC